UUACGGUCAUAUCACUUUUAAACACCAGUUCCAGUACGAUCACCGAAGUUAAGCAACGUUGAACCUGGUCAGUAACUAGAUGGGUGAAUGCUAUGGAAUACCAGGUGCUGUAAG